rnacentral:tRNA from 1 species
AUUUAAAUAGUUUAAUUCAAAAUUUAAUAUUGAAGAUAUUAAGAAAACAUAAGUUUUUAAAUA